rnacentral:tRNA from 1 species
GCCUGGAUGGCUCAGUUGGUUUAGAGCAUGGUGCUCAUAUUGCCAAGGUUGCAGGUUCAAUCCCUGUACAGGGCA